rnacentral:rRNA from 1 species
CCUACGGGCGGCAGCAGUGAGGAAUAUUGGUCAAUGGUCGGGAGACUGAACCAGCCAAGCCGCGUGAGGGAUGAAGGUACAGAGUAUCGUAAACCUCUUUUGUCAGGGAACAAAGGCGGGGACGUGUCCCCGGAUGAGUGUACCUGAAGAAAAAGCAUCGGCUAACUCCGUGCCAGCAGCCGCGGUAAUACGGAGGAUGCGAGCGUUAUCCGGAUUUAUUGGGUUUAAAGGGUGCGCAGGCGGUCUGUUAAGUCAGCGGUCAAAGCCCGGGGCUCAACCCCGGCCCGCCGUUGAAACUGGCAGUCGCGAGUUGGAGAGAAGUAUGCGGAAGGCGCGGUGGAGCGGUGAAAUGCAUAGAUAUCGCGCAGAACUCCGAUUGCGAAGGCAGCAUGCCGGCUCCACACUGACGCUGAGGCACGAAAGCGUGGGUAUCGAACAGGAUUAGAUACCCUUGUAGUC